GUUUCCGUGGCGCAAAAGGUAGCGCAUUUGGCUUACAACCGAAAAGUUGGUGGUUCAAGCUCUACACGGAAACG